AAAAUUUAAUAUUUUUAGUUGAAUGUCCAAGUGGAACAUUUGAAGAGGAUGGUAGAUGCGAGUACUGUCCAGGAAAUCAUUAUCAAGAUAGAACAGGAAAAACUAAAUGUAAAGCAUGCCCAAGAGGAACAGUUUCUGUUGCUGGUUCUCGGUCCAAAUCUGACUGUAAAGCUCUUGAUCAAGAUCGUCCUCUACGGUCAUCUAGAUCUGCACGAGACCAGUCAUCAACCGAAUUGAAUUAUAACACACCAUGUGAUUCUCAUCCAUGUAAUUAUGGAGGAACAUGUAUUCUUACACAAAAUUCUUAUAUUUGUUUGUGCAAACAAGGCUAUGCAGGUACUAAAUGUGAAACAAUUAUUUGUCCAGAAAAUUACUGCUUAAAUGGUGGUACUUGUACUUCAUUGCAUAAUAAUAAUGUUGGCUGUUUAUGCCCAAAAUUUUAUACUGGAGUACAUUGUGAAAUCAAAACAGGUUUGUGAAACAAAAAAUUAUAAUUAUUUGUGUACGUUUAUUAUUUUUAUAUAAAAACUGAAAUAUAUCUGAAUUGAAUUAACAGUGAAAAUUAUUUUGAAAAAAUUAAUCAAAAUUUUAUAUGUAAGAGAUGAUCAAAAAGUUUUGAUUGACAGCACUGCAUGUGUGAUGUCCAGAGUGAACUGAUUCGAAGCCACUGAUCCAGUGAUUUAGUGAGGUAUUUGUUGCAUUUGGAAUGUAUAGUACCCAUAUUGAUAGUAUUAUUGCUGCUAAAUAUGUCCAAAUCAGAUCAAUGUGCCAUUGUCCCCACAGGGUCAGUCUGUAUAAUUAGUGGGGAUGGGCUGUUGUAAAAACACAAUGAGUAAGAAAAAUUUCUUUGUCGUGUUUUGAGUGGAUAUACAAAAUAAGGUGUAUUUGUUAUGUGCAAUACCCAUUUCUAACUUCUACUUUUUAUUUUAUACCAUACUAAAAAAUCAAAAUAUGUUGAGAGGGGACCAAUUUGCUGAUACAAAAAUAUUCAGGGGAUAUGUUUCCUCUGUGCCAUUUUUCACUGCAAAAGGACAAAACGAUGGAGAUGCAUCCUAGAGUGAUGAUGUGUGGGGAUGCAUGCCUGUCCAAAACCACCAUUAUGGAAUGAUGUGCAAAGUUCUAACAUCAAACAAAAGUUAGACACUCUUAAAUGGAAGACUCUUGGACCAUUGUAAAGUCCAGAUAUCUCUCCAUGUCUUUGAUUCUUUGAAAAAGUCUGAAAGGAUGAUGAACGACAGAAGGCAAUAUUGGACUUUUUUAUUUAGCAGCCUGACUUCUGCUGGAUGAUCAAUGAGACAAUUUCCUUACCACCAGUGGCAAUUUCUUCUAAAUCUAAUGAACCUACUGGGUCUUAUAGCUCUUGAACAGAGACUUUUUGAUCAUCCUUUAUAAACAAAACAUAUUUCAUGAAGAAUAUGAAAAAUUGUUAUUCUUCCUUAGUGUAAAGAUAAAUUGGAAAGAAAGUAAUUUCAUUCAAAAAAUUCUAGUAGUACAACUAAAUGCAUUUCCAGACAAUUUUUCUUCUCAAAUUUUCAAUGAAUGUCCUGUUAAUUGCAUAACAGUUUAACUAAUAAAGCAAUGAUGUAAUGUGUAAUUGCAAAACUCUUAAAUAUUGGGUAUGUAGUCAUUAAUUUCAUUGAAAAACAACAUAUUUCAAUAUCAUUUCUAUUAUAAAAUGUGGAUUUUGUAAGACAACCAAAGGAUGGUUGAAAAUGUUUUUUGGGUGCUUUGACUUUAAAAAUAAAUAAAUACACUGCUAGUUUUGGGUUUGGAUUAUCUAUGUAAUUCUUAAUUGUUCUUUCAAAUUUGAGCAUAUAUUUUAACACAGAUGUUCAACAGAUAUAAACAAGUUGUAAAGUAGUGACCUUUUAGCGGAGUGGGGACAAAAGAGGCGCGACCUUGUCAAUUGGACCCACGUGCGGUCGGGUAAUACCACUUGUAAAGUAUUGACUUGUAAACAAGGGUAAGCAAAGGAAGCGCCGGCUUUGUUAAUUGGACCCACCUGCAGUCAGACGGUAAUGGUAA